GUGGUUGUGGCUCACUGGUAAAGCACUUGCCUAGUGCUUAUGAGGCACUGGGUUUGAUCCUCAGCACCACG
rnacentral:tRNA from 1 species